rnacentral:rRNA from 1 species
UUGACCUCGAAUCAGGUAGGAAUACCCGCUGAACUUAAGCAUAUCAAUAAGCGGAGGAAAAGAAACCAACCGGGAUUACCUCAGUAACGGCGAGUGAAGCGGUAACAGCUCAAAUUUGAAAUCUGGCUCCUCUGGAGUCCGAGUUGUAAUUUGUAGAAGAUGCUUUGGGUUGUGGGUUCGGCCUAAGUUCCUUGGAACAGGACGUCAUAGAGGGUGAGAAUCCCGUAUGCGGCCGAGGCCCGCGCCUAUGUAAAGCUCUUUCAACGAGUCGAGUUGUUUGGGAAUGCAGCUCAAAAUGGGUGGUAAAUUUCAUCUAAAGCUAAAUAUGGGCCAGAGACCGAUAGCGCACAAGUAGAGUGAUCGAAAGAUGAAAAGCACUUUGGAAAGAGAGUUAAACAGUACGUGAAAUUGUUGAAAGGGAAGCGCUUGCACCCAGACUUGGGCGCUGCUGAUCACCUUGCGGUCUCCGCGAGUGCACUCGACAGCGCACAGGCCAGCAUCGGUUCGGGUGGCUGGAUAAAGGCCGUAGGAACGUAGCUCCCUUCGGGGAGUGUUAUAGCCUAUGGUGCCAUGCAGCCCAGCCGGACCGAGGACCGCGCCUUCGGGCUAGGAUGCUGGCGUAAUGGGUGUAAGCGACCCGUCUUGAAACACGGACCAAGGAGUCUAACAUCUAUGCGAGUGUUUGGGUGGUAAGCCCAUACGCGGAAUGAAAGUGAACGUAGGUGAGAACCCCUUUGGGGCGCAUCAUCGACCGAUCC